CCUACGGGUGGCAGCAGGAGGGAAUCUUCCGCAAUGGGCGAAAGCCUGACGGAGCAACGCCGCGUGAGUGAUGAAGGUCUUCGGAUCGUAAAACUCUGUUUUUAGGGAAGAACAUCUGUGUAAGUAUCUGUUCUCAUCUUGACCUUACCUAUUCAGACAGCCUCGGCUAACUACGUGCCAGCAGCCGCGGUAAUACGUAGGUGGCAAGCGCUAUCCGGUAUUUUUGGGCGUAAAGCGCGCGUAGGCGGUAUUUUAAGUCUGAGGUGAAAGCCCGCGGCUCAACCGUGGAAGGUCAUUGGAAACUGGAAGACGUGAGUGCAGGAGAGGAAAGUGGAAUUCCAUGUGUAGCGGUGAAAUGCGCAGAGAUAUGGAGGAACACCAGUGGCGAAGGCAGCUUACUGGUCUGUAACUGACGCUGAUGUGCGAAAGCGUGGGGAUCAAACAGGAUUAGAUACCCGGGUAGUC
rnacentral:rRNA from 1 species